UAAUAUAUUUGUCUGUAUAAUAUUUUGUGAAUUGGUUUAGGACACAGUGGUGUCUUUUUUUAAGCAAGUAUCCAUUGAGAGGGGUCAGAGGAUUAGCUCAAGCUCCAACAUAUCUAGCUGCUACCUUGCUUAACAUAGCUGCUACCAAUCGCUUUAUUUUUUUGUGUUUUUCCCCCCUGUGGCAUUUAUUCUGUGCACAUGAACACGUUUUCAGAAUUGCUAUGUGUAACUCAGACGGUUACUCUUGUGUGUUUUGCUGCUAGUUGUGCGAACGAGCCAGACAAACCAGCUGGGAGGAGGACGGAAGCACCCCUUCUCCAUCCGCGUUCAGUUGCUAAAUACGGAUCCACCCCGUAGUGUGGUGUUUUCCAUAGCUGCUCCUUGCUCCUGUUUCACAACAUAUCAAGGCUGCCAAGUAAAUGAAGAAUGAAUCACCGCACACUGGUCAACAGCCGACAGGGUCCUUCCACAACCACAUACUUAUGCCAGUAAAAGCCACAGCUUUUCUCCUCCAAUCCAAGAAGCCUGGACUGCAGUCACCAUCUCAACACACCAACCAAGAGAAAGGCGGAUGGCUCAAUUCAAUAUGGAAAAUUGCACAAUAAAAGUUCCAGGACAUGAAGGCUGCAUACUGUGAACGUCAACCUUCAGGGCACCGUCCUGCGCAGAAGACUUUCUACCCUAAGAGGGAUGGCUGACCGCAGACACUCACAACCAGCACAGACGCCUCCAACCUCAAACCAGGCCCUUCACAGUUGCUGCACUUACCCACCUUCCCAGAGUUUUUGUGUGGUAAUGACAACUGUAAAUAUAGUAUAAAGUAAUGUAUCUAGUGUCAUGUGUAAUACAUUGUUUAAAUUGUCCAUACAUUUCAAUGACAGUAAAUAUUGGUGGACACAAUUUGACUGUGUGGCUUUUUUUUUAAUUCAUUCUCUGACUGAAAAUGCAUGGUUACAUAAUUUAUAUAUUCCACAAGACCACAAUCAGAAGAACAUUUGACAGGUUGCAUUUAUUUUCUAUGUAUGAAAAAAACAAUGGUAACAAGACAAACGUGGUUCCAAACCAAAAAGGUGAGAUGUACAGAUGAAUGCUCCUACAGAUAAUGAAAAAUAAUAAAAGUCUGCACACUGCCGGUUUGUGUGUUUUAUACCGUACUCUGUAUAAACCUUUUAUAUUGCUCUAGUGGAGCAGGGUAACCCUGGCUAAUCCUGGGUAUUGUACUGUGUAUUACAAGGUCAGCCCUGUUCAAGUGCCCCAUACUGUCUGCAGGCUGCAUGCCUGAAGAGACCGUUUCUCUCACCUGGUCCUACAUCAGCCCAAAGUCUUAUCAAAACUGAGAACACCACAGCAUUUCCUUUCAAUGUUCAUGGGCAUCUCCUUACAGAUUGCGCAGAGGCGCCAGGUUGGUUGUGCUACUGGGCUGUGACUGAGGACCAGAUGUCAUGUGCCAGGUCGAACAUCAAACUGGGGUCACGGGUCAGGGCACGCUGCAGUAACCGAUGGGAUUGCUUCAAAUUCAAUGAUUGAAUCAAGGCCUGCAAAGCAAUAAAUACAUUUUAUGUAGUGCAUUUUCUAUUUGAUGAUGGGGACUAAAUAACUCUAUUGACAAUAAGACCAAUAUGGACAUAAGCAAUCAUUAUUGUGUAUAUAAAUAAAGAUGUGCCAAUUAUAUGCAUACAACGUUUUCAGUCAAUUUCUUACAAACUGGUGUUGUGCCAGGGGUUACACAGAUGUAUGAAGUAGAUGGGCUUUUAUGGAUGUACUUGAACUACCACUGGUGUUGUGUACCUACAACCAUGUAAUAUCACACUACUACUCAUAGGAGUAGAAAUAUUGUAAUGGUUAUCACAACAGGUGUACUCGUGUAGCCUACUCGUGUUGCGAUAUAGAGUACAUCC